GUGGGGGAUAUUGCACAAUGGGGGAAACCCUGAUGCAGCGACGCCGCGUGAGGGAAGACGGUUUUCGGAUUGUAAACCUCUGUCUUCGGGGACGAACAGAUGACGGUACCCGAGGAGGAAGCCACGGCUAACUACGUGCCAGCAGCCGCGGUAAUACGUAGGUGGCAAGCGUUGUCCGGAAUUACUGGGUGUAAAGGGAGCGUAGGCGGGAAUGCAAGUUGAAUGUUUAAACUAUCGGCUCAACCGGUAGUCGCGUUCAAAACUGCAUUUCUUGAGUGGAGUAGAGGCAGGCGGAAUUCCUAGUGUAGCGGUGAAAUGCGUAGAUAUUAGGAGGAACACCAGUGGCGAAGGCGGCCUGCUGGGCUCUAACUGACGCUGAGGCUCGAAAGCGUGGGUAGCAAACAGGAUUAGAUACCCGAGUAGUCC
rnacentral:rRNA from 1 species